UACGAAGGGGCUAGCGUUGCUCGGAAUCACUGGGCGUAAAGCGCACGUAGGCGGAUUGCUAAGUCAGGGGUGAAAUCCUGGAGCUCAACUCCAGAACUGCCUCCGAUACUGGCGAUCUUGGAGUCCGGGAGAGGUGAGUGGAACUCGAGUGUAGAGGUGAAAUUCGUAGAUAUUCGCAAGAACACCAGUGGCGAAGGCGGCUCACUGGCCCGGUACUGACGGACUGAGGCACGAAAGCGUGGG
rnacentral:rRNA from 1 species